rnacentral:rRNA from 1 species
GACGAACGCUGGCGGCGUGCUUAACACAUGCAAGUCGAACGGAGUGGCGAACGGGUGCGUAACACGUGGGUGACCUGCCCUGCACUUCGGGAUAAGCCUGGGAAACUGGGUCUAAUACCGGAUAGUGUGGGAUGGGCCCGCGGCCUAUCAGCUUGUUGGUGGGGUAAUGGCCUACCAAGGCGGCGACGGGUAGCCGGCCUGAGGGGGUGGACGGCCACAGUGGGACUGGGGCGCGGGCCAGACUCCUGCGGUAGGAAGCAGUGGGGAAUAUUGCGCAAUGGGCGGAGUCCUGAAGCAGGGACGCCGGGUGGGGGAUGACGGCCUUCGGGUUGUAACCUCCUUUCACCAUCGGCGCGGUAGAUGAAGAAGAAGCACCGGCUAACUACGGGCCAGCAGCCGCGGUAAUAC